UUAUGAGAGUUUGAUCCUGGCUCAGGACGAACGCUGGCGGCGUGCCUAAUACAUGCAAGUCGAACGCUUUUUCUUUCACCGGAGCUUGCUCCACCGAAAGAAAAAGAGUGGCGAACGGGUGAGUAACACGUGGGUAACCUGCCCAUCAGAAGGGGAUAACACUUGGAAACAGGUGCUAAUACCGUAUAACACUAUUUUCCGCAUGGAAGAAAGUUGAAAGGCGCUUUUGCGUCACUGAUGGAUGGACCCGCGGUGCAUUAGCUAGUUGGUGAGGUAACGGCUCACCAAGGCAACGAUGCAUAGCCGACCUGAGAGGGUGAUCGGCCACACUGGGACUGAGACACGGCCCAGACUCCUACGGGAGGCAGCAGUAGGGAAUCUUCGGCAAUGGACGAAAGUCUGACCGAGCAACGCC
rnacentral:rRNA from 1 species